GACCUUCGGGCUAUUUGCUGCCCUUUCAGGAGAGCAACUGGUUGUCGACUCAGAGAGUCCAGCGAAGCCACCGAGACAAAUUGACUCGUCCGGCCCGAUUGAAAGUGGGAGAUCCCAUACGCACCAAUUCAAUAUGGACUUUGACAUGGAAUCCAUGUCCGCGGCGAUCGGGGUUUCUAUCCCCGUGCUGCGGUUCCUACUUUGCUUUGUGGCGACUAUUCCUGUGAGUUUCAUCCACCGACUCGUCCCUGGUAAACUCGGCAAGCACAUGUACGCGGCCUUUUCUGGGGCUUUUCUCUCCUAUCUUUCAUUCGGAUUCUCUUCAAAUCUCCAUUUUUUGGUGCCCAUGUUGUUGGGUUA
rnacentral:misc_RNA from 1 species